GACGAACGCUGGCGGCGUGCCUAAUACAUGCAAGUAGAACGCUGAAGAGAGGAGCUUGCUCUUCUUGGAUGAGUUGCGAACGGGUGAGUAACGCGUAGGUAACCUGCCUUGUAGCGGGGGAUAACUAUUGGAAACGAUAGCUAAUACCGCAUAACAAUGGAUGACACAUGUCAUUUAUUUGAAAGGGGCAAUUGCUCCACUACAAGAUGGACCUGCGUUGUAUUAGCUAGUAGGUGAGGUAAUGGCUCACCUAGGCGACGAUACAUAGCCGACCUGAGAGGGUGAUCGGCCACACUGGGACUGAGACACGGCCCAGACUCCUACGGGAGGCAGCAGUAGGGAAUCUUCGGCAAUGGGGGCAACCCUAACCGAGCAACGCCGCGUGAGUGAAGAAGGUUUUCGGAUCGUAAAGCUCUGUUGUAAGUCAAGAACGGGUGUGAGAGUGGAAAGUUCACACUGUGACGGUAGCUUACCAGAAAGGGACGGCUAACUACGUG
rnacentral:rRNA from 1 species